rnacentral:lncRNA from 9 species
GUUUCUUUCUGCUUUUGUCCUAGUAGUUCUUUUGAUCACAGCUAGAUCCAAACAACAACUGGCUUAAGGUGACUUAUCCCUUUUUUAAACAACAUGUUAUUUGCAUCUGUAUAAAAGAGAGGCUAAGGCACUUUAAUAAUGAGCACAUAAGAGAGAAAAUUGGGAUUUAUGAUUUGCCAGAGUAUUAGCAACAGGUCUCUUUUUGUGCGAUGGCUACCAAACACCUCAGCAACUUCUUCAGGUGCUGCCUUGUUAAAUCUUGCAGUGCACAUGUGGAUCUAGCCUUCACAAAGCAUUUCCAAUUGUGAGGCUUUGGGCUUUGUUGGAUCUAAUUGCACUUCCUCCAACACAACACAUAUGCACUGUUAAGUGCACAUUUCCCACGCAGUGUUUUUAUGAACCUUAUAUCUGCAAGCACUUGACCUAUCUGUCUUUUGCUGGCUGGGGACUUUGGAAUCGAAGGAGUUCCUCUUUCUUAAUGCUUUAAGCAGGCUCCACACCACUUAGAGAUGGAAUCUUUUACAAUACAGUAUUCGGCUUGGAAUGGUUUGACAUGGCUAACGAUCAAGCCCUAACAAUGGAGACGCAGCCUUCCAUUUUCUCUCAACGUUAAAGAGGUCGUCCAUUGAGGAGACGGCAACGGCACGGCAGAUCUCCUGUGAGACGAGAUGAUUUUGAGUCAGUUGGUCCUGGGUUUCCAAAACUCCACUGAUGAAUCCGCUGCAGACCCAAGGUGAAGGACUGUUGGGCUAUUCCUGGCCCAUGUUUGGUUACCAGGCCUCCUUGAUAAGAAGAAUCACCUGAGUAUAUGUUAAGCCUCUCCUCACGUCUUUCCCCACGAUUGGCUACUCGGCCUUUUCCAGGAGUUUCAGCGACAGGAACUCCUUGUCUCUGCUUCCCGAAGCUGUCCAUUCCACUGCUGGGUGACUGCCAUCCUUCGAAAGUUCCUCCUUAUGCUGUGACAGAGUCUGUUUUCAGCCAUGCUUUCUACUUGUGGGAUAACACAAGCACAUACAAUUCUAUUUCUGUGCAUCGAU